rnacentral:rRNA from 1 species
UCCUGACUGACCGAUAGUGAACCAGUACCGUGAGGGAAAGGCGAAAAGAACCCCGGCGAGGGGAGUGAAAAAGAACCUGAAACCGUGUACGUACAAGCAGUGGGAGCACGCUUAGGCGUGUGACUGCGUACCUUUUGUAUAAUGGGUCAGCGACUUAUAUUCUGUAGCAAGGUUAACCGAAUAGGGGAGCCGAAGGGAAACCGAGUCUUAACUGGGCGUUAAGUUGCAGGGUAUAGACCCGAAACCCGGUGAUCUAGCCAUGGGCAGGUUGAAGGUUGGGUAACACUAACUGGAGGACCGAACCGACUAAUGUUGAAAAAUUAGCGGAUGACUUGUGGCUGGGGGUGAAAGGCCAAUCAAACCGGGAGAUAGCUGGUUCUCCCCGAAAGCUAUUUAGGUAGCGCCUCGUGAAUUCAUCUCCGGGGGUAGAGCACUGUUUCGGCAAGGGGGUCAUCCCGACUUAC